ensembl:lncRNA
AAAUAAGCCACAUUCCAUGGAACUCUUUGUUCUUGUGUGUUUAGGGGGAAAAAGUGAUACCUAUAAGCAGUGCUCUCCAAGCUUUAGUAGAUUUUUCUCUGUCUGCUGUAUUCAGGUGGCUUUUGUGCAGAGAACUGCUCCUUGCAGAGCAUGCCUUGCCCAACCCCAAGGUGGGAAUUAAGCUCUUUGCCUGAGAAGUGAUAUUAUCAGCUCUGCUCUCAAAGAAACCCCAUUGUGCCUGAAUAGAGCUGGAGUAAGUGGGGAUAGAGGCGAAGAGACCAUAAUGACUCCUUUUUGAAGCCACACAAAAGGCAGCCAGGACUUCAGCAGGAAACCUGAGGAGUUGAGAGGCAGCACCGAGGUCUCAGUGGACAUGGGGUAUUUAUUCUCCUUCUCUUUGCUGGCCCUGGAGGGUUUGUGGAGCGGCCAGAGCAAGCAGCGAGCAAGUAACCGCCUGCCUGAUAAAGGCAGAAUUGAUGAUGAAGAAUGAAACAUUUCAUCAGAAACCAAUUCCACUCCAUCUGGUUUUGACACCAGAAAGGGUUGAGAUCAUCCGGUGGAAGAUGCUAUGGAUGAGUGAAGUCUCUUUAUUGAAUUCCAUGGCCGUGGUACUGCCAGUUCACUCCUUCCCUCUUGUCUCACAAAACAGCCCUGCAGUGGGUACCAGGCAUUGGUGUGCAAUGACCAUUCCACAGGGUGCUCCCCAGAGGAAUUUUGGCCUGACUUUGUAUAGUUUUAGUUUCACAGAGUUAUUGAAUCAUUCAGGUUGGAGAAGACCUCUGAGAUCACCAAGUCCAACCCCAACCCAUCUCACCAUGCCCACUGACCACGUCCCUCAGUGCCACAUCUCCAUGGUUCUGGAACACCUCCAGGGAUGAUGACCCCACCACCUCCCUGGGCAGCUGUGCCACUGCCUGUCUGCUCUGUUGGAGAAGAAACGUUCCUAAUAUGCAACCUGAAUCUUCGCUGUUGCAUCGUGAGGCCAUCACCUCUCAUCCUCAGCCUCUGCAUCCUCCAGUUUGCAUAUCAAGCAAAUCUUGGG